CCUACGGGCGGCAGCAGUAGGGAAUAUUGCUCAAUGGGGGAAACCCUGAAGCAGCAACGCCGCGUGGAGGAUGAAGGUUUUCGGAUCGUAAACUCCUUUUGUUAGAGAAGAUAAUGACGGUAUCUAACGAAUAAGCACCGGCUAACUCCGUGCCAGCAGCCGCGGUAAUACGGAGGGUGCAAGCGUUACGCGGAAUCACUGGGCGUAAAGAGCGCGUAGGCGGGAUAGCAAGUCAGAUGUGAAAUCCUAUGGCUUAACCAUAGAAGUGCAUUUGAAACUGUUCUUCUAGAGUAUGGGAGAGGUAGGUGGAAGUCUUGGUGGAGGGGGAAAAUCCGUAGAGAGCAAGAGGAAUACUCAUUGCGAAGGCGACCUGCUAGAACAUAACGGACGCUGAUGCGCGAAAGCGUGGGGAGCAAACAGGAUUAGAUACCCCAGUAGUC
rnacentral:rRNA from 1 species